rnacentral:rRNA from 1 species
AAGGGCGACUGAAAUGUCAAAAGCUCAGCAUGUGAAUCAGCGAUGUUGAAUUGUGGUCUUACGAUUCUUGCAACCAGUCCAUGUUUUUUGGAAUAAAAUAGCAAAGAGGGUGAAACUCCUGUUUGUCUGGACUAUCACUGAGUCGAGUUGUUUGGGAUUGCAGCUCAAAUGCGGUGGUAAAUUCCAUCUCAAGCUAAAUACUGGCAGGAAACCGAUAUCGAAAAAGUACCGUGAGGGAAAGAUGAAAAGAACUUUGAAAAGAGAGUGAAAGAGUACCUGAAAUUGCUGAAAAGGAAGCGAACGAAGCUAGUGAUGCUGCGUCAUACUUUCCACAUUGCUUGCAAUUUGGACGCUGUGGCCGGCCGAGUCCGACUUGAU